GCGAGCCGGUGGGCGGCCGUCGGGCGAAAGCCUGAGGAAACUCCGUCCACCAGACGGCACCGCGAGCCCGAAAGGGCUGGACCGGGAGGUCCGCUCCUGGAACAGAAACGAUCCCCCCCACCCCUGACGAUGAUACGAAAGUUGAGGUGGGGUGGAGAGGGAUGAAACGGCCAGUCCGCGGGGUGCAAGGGCAAGCACCGUCUAUGAGCGCCGUCCGAGACGGGGGUAGCCCGCUCAGUCGAAUGCCGCCUAAAACAGAAGACGGGUUACGGCCGGCUCGC
rnacentral:RNase_P_RNA from 1 species